UAUCACGUUAAAACACCGGUUUUCGUACGAUCACUGAAGUUAAGCAACGUUGAGCCUGGUCAGUACUGAGAUGGGUGACCGCUUGGGAAUACCUGGUGCUGUAAG